CGUAGGUAACCUGCCUUGUAGCGGGGGAUAACUAUUGGAAACGAUAGCUAAUACCGCAUAACAAUGGAUGACACAUGUCAUUUAUUUGAAAGGGGCAAUUGCUCCACUACAAGAUGGACCUGCGUUGUAUUAGCUAGUAGGUGAGGUAAUGGCUCACCUAGGCGACGAUACAUAGCCGACCUGAGAGGGUGAUCGGCCACACUGGGACUGAGACACGGCCCAG
rnacentral:rRNA from 1 species